ACGAUGCUUUUUCCCUUUCUUCGUUCUUGGCUGAUCUCUGCGUUUCUGUUGUUGAUAGAGUGAAGGAGAGGGAGAGAAUUGUAGAGAAUAGGUGUUGUGUGUUGUGAUCGUGUUUGUUUUCCUUUUAUGGUUUGUUUCGGUGGACACGACCUUUUUUCUUUCUCCUCUGCGUUCUUGGGAGAGAGUUGCAGAGAAUAGGAGUUCAUGUUAGUAACGAGAGGGAAGACGAAGAUUGGAAUUAGAUCGAGGAAAGCAGGAGAGUACUUUCGAGGGAAGACGAAGAUUGGCAAUUUUGUUUUGUUGGCGAUUUCGGGUUUGUUGGAAACUCAGGAGGUGUUGGGCUCAUUGUCGCGAUCUUCUGUCUCUCUCUCAUUCUCUUCGUUUUUGGCUGGGUUCUUCGCAUGUAGAGGUUGUAAGAGUUAGCUGAUUGGGUACCUUUUUCUUGGAGAUGGGUAGCUGAGAAAGAUGAGAUUAUCCACUUUCCGACUGUCAAGAUGAAGAGGAAGCUCCCCAUUUCAAUCACAUCCACGAUCACGUAAUCUGCUCUAGCUCAUCAAGGAAAUUCAGUACAGUAUAUCUCAAGCUAAGACCAAUCAUGGGGAUAUCAUUGAAGCCAACUAGCCAUGGAGGUUCUCAAAAAAUUGGAUGCAAGUGGGUGAUGAAUGAAUCCAACUCUAAGUCCCCAAUCCAUUAAUUUUGGUGUUUGAUCUGAUAACUACUGUACUCUGAAAUUUGGCCCUAUUCUGCAUAGGGGCUCCAGUGCCAUCCCUCAAUAAUAUUGAGCUGGUGGAGCCAAACUAUGCUUCUAAACAAUGCUAGGCGUUUUGCUCUGUUUCACUCUGCUCUUUUGGUUCCAACUCUGGAGAAAGUGAUAGUGGUAUUGGUUAAGCCAAUGAAGAAUCCAAUGACUGCUCUUAUCAAGACCUCCGAAGUCAAUGAAGAAUCCAAAGACUGCUCUGAUCAAGACCUCAAUCAUGGCCGGCUUCAGCUGAUAUCUUCAAUGCCUUUGGUGACAGUUCGCUCGACUCCACCACCCCUGAUGCAUUUGACCAAUUGGUGUGUAUCCAAUCGUGUUGUACUACUUCUCAAUUUUGAUCAUCAUAUUAACAGCUUGGAUUGCAUGAUGGGUUUUUGCAACUGUUGCAAUUGCUGCUGGAGGCCUCACAAUACAAGACGUUUGUUUGUGAAGAAGCAGACAAGGCACUAAGAGCAGUGGUGAAGUAUUUGACAACUCUGCCUCGACUUCAUAGGCUUAAAGGCUAUGUCACCCAUGCCCACCUCAAAGUCAGAGCCAAAGCUGCAAUAUCCAUCUAGAUUUUUGUUUUCAGACCUGUUUGAUGACUCAAUCUGUACAUGUUGUUUUGUUUUCAGGAAGCUAUAAGAAGCAGAAGAGGAAUCAGUCAUGGAACAAGAAAUCAAGGUCAAAACAUUCACUACUGAUUUAACUUAAAGGUUGAGAAUUUAGCAUGUUAGUUCUUAUUGGGCAUUAAGGGUUGAGAAUUUAGCAUGUUAGUUCUUAUUGGGCAUGUAUUACUGAAUCAUGUAAACGAAUGAUGAUAAUCAAAAUGUAACAGUAGGAUGGUCUGUUGCUACCAAAACCAAGAACAAAUUUUCUAAUUCUAUAAGGAUUCAACAAUACCAGCUUAUAAAAUGAAGAAAAAGGUCAGAAGAUUGUUCCUGUAAUGUUAAUUAGUUAA